rnacentral:rRNA from 1 species
UACAGGGGGUGCAAACGUUGCUCGGAAUUAUUGGGCGUAAAGCGCACGUAGGCGGUUACUUAAGUCGGAUGUGAAAUCUCUCGGCUCAACCGAGAAACGUCGGCUGAUACUGCCGUUCUUGAGGGAUGCAGAGGAGACUGGAAUUCCCGGUGUAGCGGUGAAAUGUGUAGAGAUCGGGAGGAACACCGGUGGCGAAGGCGGGUCUCUGGGCAUCUCCUGACGCUGAGGCGCGAAAGCGUGGGGAGCAAACGGG